UACGGAGGGAGGCUAGCGUUGUCCGGAUUUAUUGGGCGUAAAGAGCGUGUAGGCGGCCAUGUAGGUCCGGUGUGAAAACUCGGAGGCUUAACCUCGAGAUGUCAUCGGAAACCAUUUGGCUAGAGUCCGGAAGAGGAGAGUGGAAUUCCUGGUGUAGCGGUGAAAUGCGCAGAUAUCAGGAAGAACACCAAUGGCGAAGGCAGCUCUCUGGGACGGUACUGACGCUGAGACGCGAAAAGCGUGGGGAGCGAACAGG
rnacentral:rRNA from 1 species